rnacentral:tRNA from 1 species
UCCCUCGUAGCUCAGUUGGUAAAGAAUCUGCCUGCAAUGCAGAAGACCUGGGUUCAAUUCCUAGGUUGGGAA